rnacentral:rRNA from 1 species
UACGUAGGGUGCGAGCGUUGUCCGGAAUUAUUGGGCGUAAAGGGCUCGUAGGCGGUCCGUGUCACGUCGGGAGUGAAAACACGGGGCUUAACCCCGUGCCUGCUUCCGAUACGGGCAGACUAGAGGUAUGCAGGGGAGAACGGAAUUCCUGGUGUAGCGGUGAAAUGCGCAGAUAUCAGGAGGAACACCGGUGGCGAAGGCGGUUCUCUGGGCAUUACCUGACGCUGAGGAGCGAAAGUGUGGGGAGCGAACAGG